UACGUAGGGGGCUAGCGUUGUCCGGAUUUAUUGGGCGUAAAGAGCGUGUAGGCGCCCAGGUAGGUCUGCUGUGAAAACUCGAGGCUCAACCUCGAGACGUCGGCGGAAACCAUCUGGCUAGAGUCCGGAAGAGGAGAGUGGAAUUCCUGGUGUAGCGGUGAAAUGCGCAGAUAUCAGGAGGAACACCGGUGGCGAAGGCGGGUCUCUGGGCAGUAACUGACGCUGAGGAGCGAAAGCGUGGGGAGCGAACAGG
rnacentral:rRNA from 1 species